GAUGAAGAACGUAGCGAAAUGCGAUACGUAAUGUGAAUUGCAGAAUUCAGUGAAUCAUCGAAUCUUUGAACGCACAUUGCGCCCCUUGGUAUUCCAUGGGGCAUGCCUGUUCGAGCGUCAUUUGUACCUUCAAGCUCUGCUUGGUGUUGGGUGUUUGUCUCGCCUCUGCGUGUAGACUCGCCUCAAAACAAUUGGCAGCCGGCGUAUUGAUUUCGGAGCGCAGUACAUCUCGCGCUUUGCACUCAUAACGACGACGUCCAAAAGUACAUUUUUACACUCUUGACCUUGGAUCAGGUAGGGAUACCCGCUGAACUUAAGCAUAUCAAUAAGCGGAGGA
rnacentral:misc_RNA from 1 species